rnacentral:rRNA from 1 species
UAGGGAACCUUCCACAAUGGGCGAAAGCCUGAUGGAGCAACGCCGCGUGUGUGAUGAAGGGUUUCGGCUCGUAAAACACUGUUGUAAGAGAAGAAUGACAUUGAGAGUAACUGUUCAAUGUGUGACGGUAUCUUACCAGAAAGGAACGGCUAAAUACGUGCAAG